UACGUAGGGGGCAAGCGUUGUCCGGAGUUACUGGGCGUAAAGGGCACGCAGGCGGUCGUGCGCGUUUGGGGUGACAGCUUCCGGCUUCACUGGAAGAGGACCUCGAAGACGGCUCGACUUGAGGGGUUCAGAGGGACCGAGAAUUCCGGGUGGAGUGGUGAAAUGCGUAGAUAUCCGGAGGAAUACCCAAGGCGAAGGCAUGGUCCUGGGAACCACCUGACGCUCAGGUGCGAAAGCGAGGGGAGCGAACGGG
rnacentral:rRNA from 2 species